GUGGCCUUGACUGCAGACCAGCAGUUAUAUUACAGCUGUCGGUUUCAAGUGGAGGCCUAAAUGCUGUCUUUCUGUGGUCUGCUGGCUAUUCUGGAACCUCAGCAGAGAAUGGCUAUUUGAUUUGGAAGAAACAAAC